CAGGACGAACGCUGGCGGCGUGCCUAAUACAUGCAAGUCGAACGAACUGUGGAAAGCUUGCUUUCAGAGUUAGUGGCGAACGGGUGAGUAACACGUAAGUAACCUAGCUAUUAGACGAGGAUAACUACUGGAAACGGUAGCUAAGACUGGAUAUGAUAGAAAUAUUUAAAGGAUGCUAAGGCAUCGCUAAUAGAGGGGCUUGCGGCGCAUUAGCUAGUUGGUAGGGUAAAAGCCAACCAAGGCGAUGAUGCGUAGCCGACCUGAGAGGGUGACCGGCCACACUGGGACUGAGACACGGCCCAGACUCCUACGGGAGGCAGCAGUAGGGAAUCUUCGGCAAUGGACGGAAGUCUGACCGAGCAACGCCGCGUGAGUGAAGAAAGUUUCGGAUUGUAAAGCUCUGUUAUUAGGGAAGAAAGGCUCUAGGAGGAAAUGCUUAGGGAUUGACGGUACCUAAUGAGGAAGCCACGGCUAACUACGUGCCAGCAGCGGC
rnacentral:rRNA from 1 species